rnacentral:tRNA from 1 species
CGUCUUGUUUGCCAUGGUGCUGCCUUUGCAAGGCAGAGGUUACCGGUUCGACCCCGGUACGCUCCA